CUUCUCACUGCCUUUUUAGAAAUUAGGAUUAAAUUCCUUGGCCACUGAAAAAGGCAAGAAAUGCUCUAAGGUGUGUUUGGGAAAGAAGAAGACAAACCACUUAGAUGUGAGUGGAUUAAUAGUACAAAAUUCCUCAGGAAAGCAAGGAAAGGCUGCACAUUAAUUCUGAGACAACAAAUAAAAGUUGAAACGCGAACCCACAGUGAAACAGAAAGGGCUCUUGGUGGAGGGGUGACUGAACCAAGUAGUAAAAUCUGGCCCUUGGUGAAUAGACUCUUAAUAGGUUAGGCGGUCAACAGGUGUCGAAUUCAAAAAGGACAUCUUUUGGCCGAAACUUGACAUCAGUUGAGGAACAGCUCCACCUGUGGGUUCUUGUCUCUCUCAAAGGGUGACAAGGUGGAUAGCAGGAGGGGUCCCCCUGCAGAGCACAAUAGCAUGGGAAGCAGACAAAAGUCUCCCUGGCCUGCGGUCUAAUCUGUGAUCUGCUGGGAGAUCAUUUGACCCUUCUUAGUUCAUUUCUUUUUUUCUGCAGCUUUCAGCUUGUUCUGUCAGGGCAAUGGCUGAGGUGGAGCAUGUAGUUCAGUGAAUCACAAACGAGGAAAGGGCUAAGAUCCAUGGCGGACAGAAGUGCUCUAAUAUAUUUGGAAGGAUACACAAGGAACAGUGGUUGCCUCUGGGGAGAAGUGAAUGGGAUAUAAGGGAUACUGCAUAAGUAGACACAGCCCUGUACUGCGUUAUCCCCGCUGACCUGCUGGAAGUAUUCUAGGGUGUAGCUUGUACAUCUGAUGUUUCUCCUGGAAACCAGAGGAAAGCAGCACAGCAGGGCUACGGGAGCCUCAAGUCCAGGCUGAAGGCGCCAGAGUCACCGGAACUGUACCCAGACAAGAUGACCCGCAUGAAGGCAACUCUCUCGUUCUGUUGUUUUUUCCUUUAUGUUUUGAAAAAACAAUCUCAAGUUCAGAGAGGCGACGCCGCUUGCUCUGGGCAGCGUAUCUGUCAUCAAAGCUGAGUGACGUGAACAGAACCUAAUGCAGAAAUAAUCCCAGUGGUCCAACACAGGAUCAAACACGUGCCCCCUGCAGCAGAAGUGUGGAGUCCCAGCCACUGGACCACCAGGGAAUUCCCUCAUGGGCCACGAACUUAAUGCGUGGGUUGUGACCAGUGUUGAAAAUUGUAUCUCACAGUACAUCACACAUAAAAAUGGUUUUCUAUGUGCUGUACUCUGUUGGGUCUAAGACACAUUUUUGAACAUUUCUGGACUCAGGAGAGGUUGGACCUCACAUGUGGAUGGCACCUUACCUGUCCUCAGUGAGGUGGUGGUUGUGACACGUGAAUAAGGUUGUCAGUCCAGCUGCCACACACGCAUCGCUGCAGCCACUCAUUUCUGUCAGUAUUUCAGGAUCAUUUAGGAAGGAAUAAGAAGUGUGGUUAUUUUCUGCACGCUUUUGUUGACACCAAGAUAAAGAAGGUGUCGACAUCAAGCUUUACGGGAUGGGUGUCAGUGGUGUCGAACAAAAUCCUGGGAACAACAGUCUUCUCCUAAGAUGCUCCAUCCAAGGUGUAUUUGAGGGCACAGAGGGGAAAACUUAGAUACUGAGAGGACUGACUUGAAAAGUUGGACUCAAGGUGAGGAAGUUUUA